GGGGUUGUGGCUCAGUGGUAGAGCACUUGCCUGGAAUGUGUGAGGCCCUAGGUUCCAUCCUUAGCAUCGCAU
rfam:Ictidomys tridecemlineatus contig095403, whole genome shotgun sequence.